CCUUGAGUAGCUUAAAAAAAGCUUCAGCCUCUUGAUCUGAAGAUAGAUGACAAAAUCUCUCAAGGA
rnacentral:tRNA from 1 species